rnacentral:miRNA from 1 species
UAGUGCUGCAAUGUAAACAUUGCAUUUUCUCUAAAACUGCAAUGUUUUACAUUGCAGCACUA